UUAAGCCCUUUGCGUUUUAGAGCCUUUGUAAACAUUGGCGUGUUUCAUUUUCCAUUUGGGCCCUAUGUCAAACGGCCAAACACGACGGCAGGAUUUGUUUUUGUUAUUGUUUUGUUUUUUGGCCUCGUAGGCCAAUCCAAAACAAAUCAGGCUUUCGUGUUUGGCCUUUUGAAUCAAAAAUUUAUUUUCGCUCGUUUUUGUUAAUUUAACAGUUAAUAUCGCGUUUUUUAUUACAAUUUCUGUUGUACAUCGAGUAUUCCUGCAUUCCAAAUGGAAAGUUCGUGAUACUUAGAUGGCUAAAGAAGCCCACAAACUUGGCUGGUAGGUGCUCCAGGAAAAAAUGUGAGGACAUUUGUGGAAGGAAUAACGUCCUACGAUGCCGAAGGAGGCGAUUGUUGCAUUCCGUUAUCGGAGACGUGGAGACCAAGCCGCAUGACUAUCUCCGUCGAACUUGUACGUUGCCGACGGGUCGAUGGCACCGACGGCUUGACCGGCUACAACUAGGUGAAAAGGAGUAAUCAGUGCGAAUGUACUUAUCAACGGGGAGAUUCAUCGGAACUAGUGACAUGGAAUAGCAAAGAAAUGGUAUUAUGUAAUAAAUUUAUGUAAAUGA